ensembl:lncRNA
GCAGGAGGAGAUGAACAGCAGGAUUGUCCACAAGACACAGAAAAACAAAAUCCAAUAACCAUAACAACAACAAAAAAUCGCUGCUAUACUUCGGUUGGGGUCUGGUCUUCUGUCACACUACCGUGUGUGUAAUAAUCCAAAAGGCAGAGAAGACGAUGAAGAAGAGUUCACAGAUGUGAGUGAUGCGAUCAAAGAACCCGUUGAGAACAAGCUAUGCUCUUAACUUUACUGGUCUAUGGGAAAGGCAGACUGUCAGGUCACUGACAGAGAGAGGGGAGGUUAGUUCUCUCCGAAAUCUAUACAGGUGAGAUUUAUUGAAAGAAGAG